GAUGAACGCUGGCGGCGUGCUUAACACAUGCAAGUCGAACGAAGCACUUUAUUUGAUUUCCUUCGGGACUGAUUAUUUUGUGACUGAGUGGCGGACGGGUGAGUAACGCGUGGGUAACCUGCCUUGUACAGGGGGAUAACAGUUGGAAACGGCUGCUAAUACCGCAUAAGCGCACAGCAUCGCAUGAUGCAGUGUGAAAAACUCCGGUGGUAUAAGAUGGACCCGCGUUGGAUUAGCUAGUUGGUGAGGUAACGGCCCACCAAGGCGACGAUCCAUAGCCGACCUGAUAGGGUGACCGGCCACAUUGGGACUGAGACACGGCCCAAACUCCUACGGGAGGCAGCAGUGGGGAAUAUUGCACAAUGGGCGAAAGCCUGAUGCAGCGACGCCGCGUGAGCGAAGAAGUAUUUCGGUAUGUAAAGCUCUAUCAGCAGGGAAGAUAAUGACGUUACCUGACUAAGAAGCACCGGCUAAAUACGUG
rnacentral:rRNA from 1 species